CCCUUAGAUGUCCUGGGCUGCACGCGCGCUACACUGAUGUGUCCAGUAAGCACCUAACCUCUUCCGAAAGGAACGGGUAACCUUUGCAAAGCACAUCGUGAUGGGGAUAGAUUAUUGCAAUUAUUAGUCUUGAACGAGGAAUUCCUAGUAAGCACAAGUCAUCAGCUUGUGUUGAUUACGUCCCUGCCCUUUGUACACACCGCCCGUCGCUCCUACCGAUUGAAUGUUCCGGUGAGCUCUUCGGACUGCGCGGUCUGCAGUUUCUGCGUUCCGUGCGGAAAGCUGCGCAAACCUUAACAUUUAGAGGAAGGAGAAGUCGUAACA
rnacentral:rRNA from 1 species